rnacentral:rRNA from 1 species
UACAGAGGUGGCAAGCGUUGUUCGGAAUUACUGGGCGUAAAGGGCGCGUAGACGGUCUUCUAAGUCUUGUGUGAAAUCCCUCGGCUCAACUGAGGAACUGCACGGGAUACUGGAAGACUUGAGUUCGGGAGAGGGAAGCGGAAUUCCGGGUGUAGCGGUGAAAUGCGUAGAUAUCCGGAGGAACACCGGUGGCGAAGGCGGCUUCCUGGACCGAUUACUGACGCUGAGGCGCGAAAGCUAGGGGAGCAAACGGG